GGAAGCAUAGCUCAGUUGGUCAGAGCGCCUGUCUCACAUACAGGAGGCCGCUGGUUCAAGUCCAGCUGUUUCCACCA
rnacentral:tRNA from 1 species